rnacentral:lncRNA from 1 species
UAUUUGUAUACCCUGCACUGAAGCUUUGUAGGUGAAGCUUUGCAAGUGAAGCUUAAAUGAAGCUUUCGAAGCUGGAGCUUUUGUAAAUGAAGCUUUUGAAUCUGAGCUCUGUAAAAUGAAGCUUUUGAAGCAGCUAGAGCUCUGUAAAUGAAGCUUUCGAAGCUGGAGCUUUUGUAAAUGAAGCUUUUGAAUCUAGAGCUCUGUAAAUGAAGUCUUUGAAGCUAGAGCUCUUGUAAAUGAAGCUUUGAAGCUAGAGCUCUGUAAAUGAAGCUUUCGAAGCUGGAGCUUUUUUAAAUGAAGCUUUUGAAUCUAGAGCUCUGUAAAUGAAGUCUUUGAAGCUAGAGCUCUUGUAAAUGAAGCUUUUGAAGCUAGAGCUCUUGUAAAUGAAGCUUUUGAAGCUAGAGCUCUGUAAAUGAAGCUUUUGAAGCUGAUUGACAUGAGUGAUGCU